UAGGGAGGCAGGAAAAAAAACUGGGCUUGGAUUUACCCACUUUGCUUGCAUGCUGAGUAUGAGUUUGUUGGCAUUUUUUCAGGGGAAGAGGGGAACAGGGAUAAAAAGGACUGCAGAUAGCUGCAUCUGGAGGGAAGGCUGGCAGCCAGUUUAGAGAUUUGGUUCCAGGCCAGAGAGUGGAUAGAUGUGUGAGCAGUACACAGGGAUCCAGACCAUUACAGAAAAAAAAGGGGAGGAGGCUUUUGUCCGAAACAUUUGGGAACUGCUGAGAUAAAGUAAGCUGCUCCAUUCGGUUGACUUGAAGGACUCACAAAGUUGACUUACAUUUCAGCUGGAAAUUGCAACUUGCAGCACAGAAGAGAAGGAGAAGCUUCCUGAACCACAACUGGGGAAUAAUUCUUGAAUGUGGAGCCUUUUCCCAAUCUCUAUAAUGGAGGGUUGCACUUGACAAUCUCUAGAGGACCCUGCUGAGUUCAGCUACUACGGGAUUCUGAACUAGGAAGGAAGUUUUCUUGAAGAGCAUUACAUAUCCCUGCUGAUGCCUGGAUAUUCAGAUCACAUGAAAAGCCAAAUAAAGACUCUGUGAAUUCACACUGCUUUGAAUAGAGGGCACAUUGUGGACUUUGGCUCACUUGUGAAACUCUGUGUGAGGUACAAAGUUAAUACACAGCAAAAAUGUUUAURGCAUUUUGUGUGUACCCUGUAAGAUCGGAGGUAAAUGUCUGCAUUUUUGGUUUCAGAAAAUCUGACCGGAAAGCAUGAAGAUAGCCAUAGUAAAAUUUGAUUGUUACCACCUUGUACACUGUGUUUUGAACAAUGCAUUUUCCCUGAUGGGGUAUAAGGAAAAACACUGUACAUCGGUGGUGGGGGGGAAGCCCCAGCUUAAUGGAUUUUUGCUUGAUGUAGCUUUAAAGAUGUCUCAUGGACAUUUAUAUAUAGGAUUGGAC